AAGCACGUACGUACGUAGUACUCCAUAUCAGUACAUGCGUAUCACGUGAUUUCGUGUCAAAUCUCUACCGAGCCUUAACUACGCGGCAGAAAGUCAAAAGGGCGGCGGAUCCAUCGACUCCAACGAAAGCCGUACAUACGCCGAGUGAUAAGCAAGCGAUAUAGCAAACCACCCAGAGCUUCUCUGUAUAAAACGCACGGGUGCUGGAGGCAACCACCACAGAUCGCACGGACUCAAAACGCAGCGCACGAAAGCACACACGCACGCAAGCUACAAGCAUGGCUGCCACCAUGAAGCUGUCACUCGCCUUCGUCCUCCUCCUCUCAGUCUCAGGGCUGGUGGUGUUCGGGGACGCCGGGGCGACCUGCGACACCAUCCGCUGCAUCCAGGGAGGGAACAUCACCGCAGGGAUGUGAUCCAGGGGUGUCACUGCGUGUGCGCGCCCAAGAACGGCAAGGGCUGCGUGCUCCUCCUCCACGACGGCUCCACCUACAACUGCCCCACUACCAAGUGCUGAAACUACUACGUAGUACACUGCACGCGUUCGCCGUGUUCAUCUUGAGCUCUCGUGUUUUACCUGCAAAAAAAAAAAAAAGAGCUCUCGUGUUUGAGUUUGAGUUCAAUAAAGCGGCAACCGUGUCUUGGAACAA